UACGUAGGGUCCGAGCGUUGUCCGGAAUUAUUGGGCGUAAAGAGCUCGUAGGCGGUUUGUCGCGUCUGCUGUGAAAUCUGGAGGCUCAACCUCCAGCCUGCAGUGGGUACGGGCAGACUAGAGUGCGGUAGGGGAGAAUGGAAUUCCUGGUGUAGCGGUGGAAUGCGCAGAUAUCAGGAGGAACACCGAUGGCGAAGGCAGUUCUCUGGGCCGUAACUGGACGCUGAGGAGCGAAAGCGUGGGGAGCGAACAGG
rnacentral:rRNA from 1 species